rnacentral:rRNA from 1 species
UACAGAGGUCUCAAGCGUUGUUCGGAUUCAUUGGGCGUAAAGGGCGCGUAGGCGGCGGGGUAAGUCGGGUGUGAAAUCUCAGAGCUCAACUCUGAAACUGCACUCGAUACUGCUCUGCUUGAGGACUGGAGAGGAGACUGGAAUUCACGGUGUAGCAGUGAAAUGCGUAGAUAUCGUGAGGAAGACCAGUGGCGAAGGCGGGUCUCUGGACAGUUCCUGACGCUGAGGCGCGAAGGCCAGGGGAGCAAACAGG